GCAGAAGAACUGAAGGAUAUUACAACAUUCAAACGAUCCCAAGGGUGUUUUGUAACGGGCGCUGUCCUAAAAGAACAGAGGAGGGGGUAUCUGGUCCUUAUUCUUUUUUUUUUUUUCAAAAAAAAAAGGGCAAAAUAAUAUCCUCCGCCCUGACGGGCCGUUGCCGCGAGGAAAGGAAGGGGAAAUAAAAAAGCAGUUGCCCUGGAAAACGGGACAUGAAAAUCCGACAACUACCAGAAAGUCCGGCCAUGGUAGUUAUGAGAAAUGAGCUUCAUCUGAGGACAUUUUCGACCACCAUUCAGUGCAUUUCAAAAUUGAAGCAAUGCAAUAAAAGCUUGCUGUCAGAUUUACUUGAUCGAAGAUGGGCAUUGGCUAGUCCAGAGAGCAAGAUCAACAAAAUAUCACUUUCUGAGAUGCAAGGACAGCAUGCAAGAGUACCAUAUCUUACAUUUUCCUUUUCCAACAAUACCAGACCAUCUUUGGGUGAUCAUAUGAUGGAGAAGAGAAAAGAAGACCUAUCAUUUUAUGUUGUGAGGGAUGAUUUGUUGCACCCGCUGAUAAAUGGUAAUAAAGCAAGAAAGCUAGAUGGUUUACUUCCUCUUGUCAAAGAUCAUUCAUUGACUGACGUGGUUACAUGUGGAGGUUGUCAGAGUGCGCAUGCAGCAGCUGUUGCUGUUUCUUGUGCAGAGAGAGGACUGAGGUCGCAUUUACUUCUAAGGGGAGAACAGCCUGAAAUCCCAACUGGCUACAAUUUGAUUUCUUCUAUGUAUGGCAAUGUAACAUACGUUGAACGAUCAUUAUAUGGGAAGAGGGAGGAAAUGCUGAUGAGACAUGCUGAUUUAGUGGCAGGCGAUAGUGGUCUUGUUAUGCGGUUGAGUGAUACUCUUGAAACAUCAUUUUCAGAUUGGAAAUCUGAGGAAGCAAUUCUCCCCCAAAAUGAUUGUGGAAGUGGUAUCACGCAGGCUGAAGCUGAAACUUGCCCAAGAAGAGUUAUUAUUAUUAACGAAGGUGCAGCGGAUGCAAUAGGAUUAUUUGGUGUGAUUCGGCUUGUGAAAUACCUAUCACAAAAGCAUUUAUUUGGCAAGGACCGACCAAUAAAACUUGUUGUGGAUGCUGGUACAGGAACUACAGCUGUUGGUUUAGGGCUUGGAGCCUUGUGUUUAGGGUUGCCAUGGGAAGUUACUGCAGUGAUGUUGGCUGAUACCCUUGAAGGAUACAAAAAACAGGAGGAACGUUUGAUAUCUGAUUUCAAGAGGCUGUAUGGGUUCGAUUCUUUUGACAAUGAAUUAAAUGGAGAUGGUGGCAUUGUGAAUUGGGUAGAGCGUGUCCAUCCAAGAAAGUUUGGCAAUGUGUUGAAAGGGGAAGUCGAGGUGUGCCAACAAAUUGCACAGCAAACUGGUGUUCUUGUGGAUCCUGUCUACACCUUGGCUGCUUGGGAGCAUGCAGCUCUCCUCUGCCAAAGGGAAGCCAAAGGGGAUGCUGAAGUGGUGAUGCUUCAUACAGGUGGCACACUUGGUAUGUUUGGACUGGCUCAAAGGUACAAGUCUUACUUCAAAUCCUUGCAACAAUGAGGCAGUGCCACACUGACAUUAGCAGCACAAUAUAAUCCCAUUAAAACCAUUUUGAGUAAGAUUCUGUCAGCAAGCAUUUUAUUGCCAUCCAUGAUGGUGCUGAUUGGGUUCGUGCAUUAGAAGAUAUGUAUAUUAUUUGAAUUAAAGGUUGUUCAACAUAGAAAUUAGACAGUUCCCAUCGUCAUGUAGUUGGCAACAUGAUGCUGUUCAUUGAUCAACUGUCAACAAAUCAGAGAAUCUAGCUGGAUGAAAUUUGAUAAAAAAUGCAUCAGGAGAUUCUAGUCUCAUUUAUAGUUGCACGAAGUGUGAAGGAAGCAGCAACAGAUUCAGGUGCAGGAAGCAAGGAGGCAUCUGUUUCAAAAUGUUAGAAAGUAUAAACAGCUAGGAAGUAGGAACCACGAGUCAGAAGCAC